rnacentral:rRNA from 1 species
CGGGGGGGGCAAGCGUUGUUCGGAAUUACUGGGCGUAAAGGGUGCGUAGGCGGCUCUCUAAGUCGGAUGUGAAAACUCUGGGCUCAACCCAGAGCCUGCAUCCGAAACUGGAGGGCUAGGGUUCUGGAGGGGAAAGCGGAAUUCCUGGUGUAGCGGUGAAAUGCGUAGAUAUCAGGAGGAACACCGGUGGCGAAGGCGGCUUUCUGGACAGAUACCGACGCUGAGGCACGAAAGCUAGGGGAGCAAACAGGAUUAGAUACCCUGGUAGUCCUAGCCCUAAACUAUGGAUACUUGCUGUGGGGGGGAUUGAAGCCCCUUGUGGCGAAGCUAACGCAUUAAGUAUCCCGCCUGGGGGAGUACGGUCGCAAGGCUG